rnacentral:rRNA from 1 species
CUACGGGUUGCAGCAGUGGGGAAUAUUGGACAAUGGGGGAAACCCUGAUCCAGCAAUGCCGCGUGUGUGAAGAAGGCCUGCGGGUUGUAAAGCACUUUCGGUUGGGAGGACUGCUUCUAGCACUAAUAUUGUGGGAAGUUGACGUUACCUUCAGAAGAAGCACCGGCUAACUCCGUGCCAGCAGCCGCGGUAAUACGGAGGGUGCAAGCGUUAAUCGGAAUUACUGGGCGUAAAGCGCGCGUAGGCGGCUAGAUCAGUCGGGUGUGAAAGCCCCGGGCUUAACCUGGGAACUGCAUCCGAUACUGUCUAGCUUGAGUACAGGAGAGGAGAGUGGAAUUCCACAUGUAGCGGUGAAAUGCGUAGAUAUGUGGAGGAACACCAAUGGCGAAGGCAGCUCUCUGGCCUGAUACUGACGCUGAGGUGCGAAAGCGUGGGGAGCAAACAGGGUUAGAUACCCUUGUAGUC